rnacentral:rRNA from 1 species
GUGGGGAAUAUUGGACAAUGGGGGGAACCCUGAUCCAGCCAUGCCGCGUGUGUGAAGAAGGCCUUUUGGUUGUAAAGCACUUUAAGCGAGGAGGAGGCUACCGAGAUUAAUACUCUUGGAUAGUGGACGUUACUCGCAGAAUAAGCACCGGCUAACUCUGUGCCAGCAGCCGCGGUAAUACAGAGGGUGCAAGCGUUAAUCGGAUUUACUGGGCGUAAAGCGCGCGUAGGUGGCCAAUUAAGUCAAAUGUGAAAUCCCCGAGCUUAACUUGGGAAGUGCAUUCGAUACUGGUUGGCUAGAGUAUGGGAGAGGAUGGUAGAAUUCCAGGUGUAGCGGUGAAAUGCGUAGAGAUCUGGAGGAAUACCGAUGGCGAAGGCAGCCAUCUGGCCUAAUACUGACACUGAGGUGCGAAAGCAUGGGGAGCAAACAGGAUUAGAAACCCUGGUAGUCC